rnacentral:lncRNA from 1 species
GGCAUUGAAAAUGAUGUAACUAAUCUUGUGCUGCUCAACAUCAUCAGAAGUACCAAAGGAAUCCCUCAACACUUGAAGCAUUUCCUCUGGCUGAGCUUCUUUAAACUUUUGACUGAACUCAUCAUUCAUGGAGGUCUGCAUGAUGCAACGAACUGUGGUGCAGUUGUUGAGCUACUUCAAAUAAGUAUCUCGAACUACUCCUCGAGCAUUAGGAGCAGGC